rnacentral:misc_RNA from 1 species
GAUGAAGAACGCAGCGAAAUGCGAUAAGUAGUGUGAAUUGCAGAAUUCAGUGAAUCAUCGAAUCUUUGAACGCACAUUGCGCCCCUUGGUAUUCCAUGGGGCAUGCCUGUUCGAGCGUCAUUUGUACCUUCAAGCUUUGCUUGGUGUUGGGUGUUUGUCUCGCCUUUGCGUGUAGACUCGUCUUAAAAUAAUUGGCAGCCGGCGUAUUGAUUUCGGAGCGCAGUACAUCUCGCGCUUUGCACUCAUAACGACAGCGUCCAAAAGUACAUUUUACACUCUUGACCUCGGAUCAGGUAGGGAUACCCGCUGAACUUAAGCAUAUCAAUAAGCGGAGGA